rnacentral:lncRNA from 1 species
CCUAGUGAAAAGUUGUGGUUUGGAUCAUUCAUUCAACUGUGGGCAGUUUAUAAAGCUUUCUGCAACCUCAGUUAGACUGAUUGUUAGAGACGAACAUGGACUUUUGCCACCUGCUACCACUGCCUCACCAGGUAACGGGUGCCAGUCCAGCCUCCGGCUAGAUCUGAGGUUUGCUGCCUGCAAGGCUCAAUGAUAUCUCUCUCCCGCUGGCCUGGAUAAAGACAAUGUGUGCGCUGUCAGAACAUGCAGUUUCUCGGAGGAUCCAGACUAAGACCCUGAAGUCAUUCCACCCCUGGAGCCUCGAAAUACCGCAGCAGCAUCUGGGCCCCUUGCACCCUCCUCAUGCAAGGCGAACGGACUUAGAGCAAUGUCCUGUCAUCCCUGACUCACUAAUGAGGAAGGUCUGUUACAUUUCCCAGAAUGGUUCCCAGCGCUGGAGAUAAUUCCUUUUCGGAGAACCUACAUUUCUCACCUGCUGAUUGCAAUUAGCCACUGCCAGCUGGGGCCUGGUGUGCAGCU